CCAGUGUUUAGUCCCACCUCGCCAACCGAAGGGCGCUCACACCAGUUUAUAAGCCCGUCCCUCUCUGCCUUGUUGAGCUCCUCUCAAAGUGAAAAUAGAUGCCCUUAUACAGGGAAUUUGACCUAAAUUCACAGUAAAUUUCUUUAAAUUUCAUAGAAAUUUAUUAUGAAUUUAGGUUGAAUUUUCUCUAUAGGCGCAUCUAUGUUCAUUUCUUUAUAGUAAAUAAAAUAAAUGAACCUUAAUAAAAUAAAUAAAAAUAAAUAAACCUUAAUAAAAUAAACUAUAGUAACUAAAAUAAAUAAACCUUAAUAAAUUAAAUAAAAAUAGCAGCAGUAAAAUAAAUAAAAAUAGCAGUAGUAAAAUAAAUAAAAUAAAAUAAUUAAAGUAAAAUACAUAAGUAAUUAGAAAUAAAAUAAAUAAGUUUUUUGUUGUAAGUAGAAACAAAACAAAACAAAUAAAGCAAAAGAGAAAACAAAAAACAGAGGAAAAAAUUAUGCCACCUACUGGGCCACCACGGCCUGAAUACGACUUGAAACCCGUCCAUGGGCCAGGAUUCAGGCCCGCAGAAGGCCCAGUAGGCCCCACGGGCAAAGAGAACGGUUAGGCCCGAAAGCCUGCAGUUGAGAGGAGCUCGAGAGGCUGGGCGCAGCAGCGCUUAUAAACCACUCUCGAGCCCUCUCAACUAGCGAGGUGGGACUAAACUUUUGACGCGGGGCAGCACAAGGCCUUUGGUCCCGGUUGGUGCCACCAACCGGGACUAGAGGGGGCAUUGGUCCCGGUUGGUGGCACCAACUGGGACCAAAGGCCUUUAGUCCCGGUUGGUGCCACGAACCGGGACCAAUGAGUUCCCUAUAUAUACCCAUCGCCACAGCAGAGCACUCCACAGUGCUCUGUUUUUUCUGGCCGGUGAGGGGAGGGCAUUUGGGUGCUCUAGCUCACCUCCUAUGCACAUGAGGUGUUCGAUGAAAUGUCUGAGCCACACUAGUUAAUCUUUCUCCUCUCGAAACUCGACCUCCGAGCUCCAUUUUCCCCGAGAUUUGUCUAGGUUUAGCGGUCCGUCACGUCCCGUCCCCGUCUUCACCGCCGUCGAUCGCCCGUGCCGAUCUCGUCGCCAGCACCACCGUGGUGAGCCUCUUGUUCUUAUCUUCUUUCUGAAAGGAGAAAAUUCUUACUUUAGAUAGUUACUUGUCUAAUUUUGUUACUUUUAUUAUUCCUUCUUAUUACAUAGUGCGAUGGUUUUGGUAUCCGCCCCCGUCGGCCCUCGUCCUGUCUAUGAUUCGGAUGUGGUAUAUAUUAUCUUUUUAUAACUAUUUGGUUCAUUUAUUGUUUAUGACAAAUAUACCGACCAACGUGACAUAGAUUUUAUUUAUCUAGGAGGUGGUUGAACCAGAAAUUCUAACCGACCCUAUUGUCGAGAGGUUAAAUUUAGUUGAAGAAGAAAAACAAUUACUUGAAGGAAAAAAUAAAAAAAUUGAGGAGGAGAAGAUGAUAUUGGAGUUUCAAGAAGAUGGAUGUCAUCGGUGAUCACAAGAUCAAGAUGGAUGCAAUGCGCUUGAAGAUUAGAAAGAUUAGAAAAUAUGUCAUUCAUACCGAGGCUUGUAUCAUUAUGCCGUUGGAUCAAUUGUUACCUUGGUUGCGAUUAUGAUCGCAUUUGUUUUCGAUUGAAAUGUUUUACAUAGUUUCAAUGUAUGGUUUAAUUAAUUAGAUGCUCUGGAGAGCUAUAUAUAUGUUGUUAGAUGAGAACUAUGUAUGUACUUUGGUUUUAAUGUGAUGAUGAACUUCUAUUAAUUUGGUCACUUAAUUAUCUAUUCAUGAUGUUCUGUAAUGGUUUUUGACACACUUAAUUAUAUAUAAUGCACGCAGAUGAACCGGCAAUGGAUGUACGGUGACAGACACACCUCCGAGUACAUUGGCGUGCAUGAUUUUCUCGAAGUGGCUGAGGCAAACAAGCAGAAUGGUUUUAUGUGUUGUCCAUGCCCUAUAUGUGGGAAUACGAAGUCUUACUCUGACCGGAAAAUCCUUCACACCCACCUGCUUUACAAGGGUUUCAUGCCACACUAUAAUGUUUGGACGAGGCACGGAGAAAUAGGGGUUAUGAUUGAAGACGACGAAGAAGAAGAGGAAGAUGACAACUAUUGUCACAUCCCUAGCUUCUAGCAAUGCACUAGGCUAGCUUCAUGUGUGCAUCAUGUUUAAUAUUUGAAAGAAACUUGAAAUGGGGAUGUUCAAACCCUAGCAUUAAAUCAACUCAACUAGGAUGGACUAAAAUCUUUUCAAUAAACCCAAAAUGUCCUUAAGAAAAGUUCAUGAUUUCUGGUUAAGGUGGAAACCUCUGCCAAAAAUGAUGAAUAUAUUCUUAGAUCAUUUUUGGAUUUUUGAAUUAAAUCAUAUUUUAUUUGACUUUGGGCAUUUAAAUACUAUAAAUAUUUAAGUGCUCAAAUGAUUCUGAAACUAAAUGUGGGUCACUCGAAUAAUCCAAAGAGAAUCCACAAAUUAUUUCAGGAGUUUCCAAAAUGGGUUGGUAUUGUUACUAAUUCAAAACAGAGGAAAGAAAUAGAAAACAGAAACAAAUAAAAGAGAGAGGAAAGGACUGACCUGCCCUACCUGGCCCGUCCCUGUAGUAGCCCAGCUGGGCAAAGCCGGCCCAGCCCACCACCGCAACCCCCUCUGUGGCCUUCCUCCUCGCGCCAGUAGGCAGGGGCGCGUGCCCGGCGCGCGCAGCCACACGCCGGCCACCUCCUCCCUGCCUGGCUGCCUCCUCCUCCCCCGGAUGUCUCUCGCAGCGCCACGCAGCCCCCUGGUCCCUCUCGCUCACUCCCGAGCUCCUUCCCCUCCUUUGUUCUCUCUCUCGCACGCACCCGAAAGCGACCGCCGCCGCUGUUCGCUGCCGCCGUGCCCAGAGCCACCCCCUCACCCUUCCGCCAUGUCCAGAGGCUCCGCAUCGUCGUCCUCUUCGUCCACACCGAGCCAAGCAACCGGGGAAGCACCGCAUCGCCAUCCCUGACGUCUUCUCCAACUUCGGUGCCGGUGAUCCCCGCCGCUUGAUUCGUCUUGUCCAGAGCUUCCCCGGCCCCGCCGUCUGCACCAGCCGACUCACCGUGAGCCACCUACCUUCUCCCCUAACUCAAAAUGCUCGCCCCCAUGCCGUAGCACCGUUCCCCACGAGCACCGAAGCCGCCGUCCGCCAUUGCUUCUGCACGCAUAGCCUCCGUGCUCCCCUGGCCUCACCGUGCUGCCCUUAUUGCUCCCCGUGCCUAGCAGGUGCUGCCCAGCCUCUCCAUUUGCUCGCUGAUACACCGUAGCGACGCGCCCGUGCACCACCGAACACCACCGCCGCCAAAGCUCGUCGCCGGCAUGAAUUCCGGUGACCCCGCGACCUCCCACUUGGUCCUUUGGAUGCGCAAGAUCAAGGGCUAUCCCCUGGUGCCCUCAGCGCGCCAAGCUCGCAAGUCCGGCGUGCCCCGCCGUGUUCUGUGGUCGCCGCCGGCUAGUCUCCGGUGGCUGACGUGGCACCAUUAGUCUAGAUGCUAAUCGCGUUUAGUUAGUGUCGCGUGUCGAUGACAUAUGGGCCCCACGCCUUAACUAACCACGGGUUAACCCCUGUUUAGUUCAAGUUAUGCACAGUGGCCCCACGCGUCGGCGUUGACCUCGUUGACGUGGCCGUUGACCGAACCCACCUGUCUGUGUCACUAACGGACACUGGGUCACUGACCAGUGGGUCCCACUGGUCAGGUUUGACCUGGACCAGCCGCUGUUGACUUGCUGACGUCAUCCUGACGUAGUGCUGACGCAGUAAUUUAAUUACUGGAAUUAUUCUUAUAUAGGAAAUUCUAGAAAAUGCCCAAAACUUCUAAAAUUCAUAGAAAAUUAUCUGUAACUCCAAAUAAGAUAGAUUUAUAUAUGAAAAAUGAUCAGAAAAAUCCAAUCUAUCCAUUUGUACCAUUUUCAUGCAUGUUAGAACAAUUUAUGGCAGCUGUUUAGGACAAAUCAUGUAAAUGGCAUUUGAAUUUCCACAUAUGAAGUUUGAAUUUGAACCUAAGGUUCAAACCAACUCCAUUUAAUAUGUAGCUAGUUGCAUUAGCUCAAAACACAUUCAUAUUGCCAUGUCAUAGCAUGCAUCAUAUUGUGCAUUGCAUUGAUCGUGUUUCUUCUCUGUUUGCCGGUGUUGUCCCCUCUCAGUAGACGUUGUUUCGACGAUGAGUCCGAUGACACCGAUGAAGAGUUAUAUCAUCUUCAGAAGUGCCAGGCAAGCAAAACCCCCUUGUUCAUUCCGAUACAAUCCCACUCUCUCGCUCAUGCUCUCUUUUACUGCAUUAGGACAACAACGUUUCAUCUUUUACUUGCUGCGGUAGUUGAACCCCUUUCCUCUGCAUGACCUGUCAUUGUCACAGUAAAUAGAUGAAACCCACUAGCAUGAGUAGGAGUUGUUUGAGCCUUGAUGUGCCUACUCAUUCAUGCUUGUUUGUCAUGCCUGCUAUUGCUUAGAGUUGUGUCAGGUCUGAUUCAUCGGGAAUGAAUUGGAAAGUUGUGAACAUGUCCUACUGUGUGAGAGCUAAGUGUGUGAACACGAUUUGGUAAAGGUAGCGGUGAGAGGCCAUGUAGGAGUACAUGGUGGGUUGUCUCAUUGAAGCCGUCCUCAGGAACUGAGUUCUGUGUUUGUGAUCCAUGAAUAGUUACUACCACACAUUGGGUUCCGGUAACUCGACCCCUCUCGGCUUAUUAACCGCCUCGAUCUUUGUCCAGGAGAUGCAACUAGUUUCUGGUGUUUGUAGGUUGUGUUAGUAGUCUACCAAGUGGUACCCGGUACGGGUGGGCUUGGGGCAGACUAGGCACCGUGGCACGAUGUACCAAGCGUAGAUCCAUCCGUCGAGGUGGGCUUGGGAACCCUGCACACAUCGUUUGGGGCCGUGAGCGACACCCCGGCCGGAUCUCCUUGCGGAUGGAACCCGAAUAGGCGAUAAACCUGGACGAGAGACUUGUGUGGUUAGUCAGGUCAUGGCCGACUCCCUCGCCAGGCUUCCGCUUGAAGGUUGCCGAGAUACACGACGUGUACAUGGUGGUAAGUGGCGAGAGCGUGUGUGAAGAAGUACACCCCUGCAGGGUUAAGAUCAUCUAUUCGAAUAGCCGUGUCCACGGUAAAGGACUUCUGGGUUGCCUGUACAGUUCAUAGACAAGUGAAAGUGGAUACUCUAAAACUCGCAAGAUAAGCGUGAGUGCUAUGGAUGGCGUUCUCGUAGGGAGACGGGAGCGGAUCCAUAGUGGUGUAUUGAUAUGGUGAUUAUGUGGACUCGUGUGCGCCACCUCAAAAGAGUUACUUGCAAUUGUAGCUUAGGAUAGCCACCGAGUCAAAGCUGGCUUGCUGCAGUUAAACUCCACCACCCCCUUUUGAUACUGAUGCAUAUGUAGAUAGUUCUGAUGUAAGUCUUGUUGGGUACAAUUGUACUCACGUUUGCCUAUUUUAUGUUUUGCAGAGAGACGUCAGUCUCGCUAGUAGUUCCGUGUGGACUUCGACGUUUAGCUUGUUACCUCAGCUACGAUCUUGUGCCCUCGGCAGGGUCUUGUAGAUAGUCAGGCUUCGCAGCCUUUUUCUUUUGUAGAUGUCUGUACUCAGACAUGUUAAGCUUCCGCAUGUGCUUUGACUUGUAUGCUCUGAAUGUUGGGUCAUGAGACCCAUGUUUGUAAUAUCUGGCUCUUCGGAGCCUAAUGAAUAAAUACUCUGAGUCAUAGAGUCUUGUUGUGAUGCCAUGUUGUAUUUGCACAUAUCGAGCAUAUUGUGUGUAUGAUUGAAAUGCUUGGUAUGUGUGGGAUCCGACAACCUAGUUGUUUAUCCUUGGUAGCCUCUCUUAUGGGGAAAUGUAGUCUUGUGCUUCCAUGAGCCAUAGUAGUCCGCUACAGCCCGGUUCACCGGAGUCCUGCUAGCCCAGCACUACUGCUCCGGAACACUUGACUGGCCGGCAUGUGAUUCACUUCGUUCCUGUGUCUGUCCCUUCGGGGUAAUGUCAUGCGGUGACAUCCGGAGUCCUGCCUAGCCUGCUACAGCCCGGUUCACCGGAGUCCUGUUAGCCCAGUGCUACAGCCCGGAUUCGCACGCUGCUGACCGACAUGCUCGAUGUUGAUUCAUGUAUGCCUGUCCCCGUAAGUUAGUGCCACUUUGGGUUCACGACUAGUCAUGUCGGCCCGGGUUCUCUGUCAUAUGGAUGCUAGUGACACUAUCAUAUACGUGAGCCAAAAGGCGCAAACGGUCCCGGGCCAUGGUAAGGCGACACCCGUAGGAAUACCGUGCGUGAGGCCGCAAAGUGAUAUGAGGUGUUACCGGCUAGAUCGAUGUGACUUGGAAUCGGGGUCCUGACAGCUUUGUGCCCCCUGAAUACGGUGAUGCUGCAACGGGGGAAGCUGCUGAAUAUCAAGAGGAACCAGACGAUGUGCCCAAUGAUGCUGCAAGGGGGGAAGCUGCUGAAGAUCAAGAGGAACCAAUGCCCGAUGAUGAUGAUCUCCGCCGGGUCAUUGUCGAAGCAAGGAUGCAAUGCGAAAGUCAAAAGGAGAAGCUGAAGUUCGAUCGCAUGUUAGAGGAUCACAAAAAAGGGUUGUACCCCAAUUGCGAAGAUGGCAACACAAAGCUCGGUACCGUACUGGAAUUGCUACAGUGGAAGGCAGAGAAUGCUGUGCCUGACAAAGGAUUUGAGAAGCUAUUGAAAAUAUUGAAGAAGAAGCUUCCAAAGGAUAACGAAUUGCCCGACAGUACAUACGCAGCAAAGAAGGUCGUAUGCCCUCUAAGAUUGGAGGUGCAGAAGAUACAUGCAUGACCUAAUGACUGCAUCCUCUACCGCGGUGCGUACAAGGAUCUGAACGCAUGCCCGGUAUGCAGUGCAUUGCUGUAUAAGAUCAGACGAGAUGACCCUGGUGAUGUUGACGGACGGCCCCCCAGGAAGAGGGUUCCUGCGAAGGUGAUGUGGUAUGCUCCUAUAAUACCACGGUUGAAACGUCUGUUCAGAAACGAAGAGCAUGCCAAGUUGAUGCGAUGGCACAGUGAGGACCGUAAGAAAGACGGGAAGUUGACAGCACCCACUGACGGGUCGCAGUGGAGAAAAAUCGAGAGAAAGUACUGGGCUGAGUUUGCAGCUGGCCCAAGGAACGUAUGGUUUGGUUUAAGCGCGGAUGACAUUAAUCCUUCCGGGGAGCAGAGCAGCAAUCACAGCACCUGGCCCGUGACUCUAUGUAUGUAUAACCUUCCUCCUUGGAUGUGCAUGAAGCGGAAGUUCAUUAUGAUGCCAGUUCUCAUCCAAGGCCCUAAGCAACCCGGCAACGACAUUGAUGUGUACCUAAGGCCAUUAGUUGAAGAACUUUUACAGCUGUGAAAUGGAAACGGUGUACGUACGUGGGAUGAGCACAAACAGGAGGAAUUUAACCUGCACGCGUUGCUGUUUGUAACCAUCAACGAUUGGCCCGCUCUCAGUAACCUUUCAGGACAGACAAACAAGGGAUACCACGCAUGCACGCACUGUUUAGAUGACACUGAAAGUAUAUACCUGGACAAAUGCAGGAAGAAUGUGUACCUGGGCCAUCGUCGAUUUCUUCCGACCAACCAUCAAUGUCGAAAUAAAGGCAAGCAUUUCAAAGGCGAGGCAGAUCACCGGAAGAAGCCCGCCAUGCGUACCGGUGAUCACGUACUUGCUAUGGUCAAUGAUUUACACGUAAUCUUUGGAAAGGGUCCCGGCGGACUAGCUGUUCCGAAUGACGCUGAGGGACACGCACCCAUGUGGAAGAAGAAAUCUAUAUUUUGGGACCUACCCUACUGGAAAGAGCUAGAGGUCCGCUCUUCAAUCGACGUGAUGCACGUGACGAAGACCCUUUGCGUGAACUUGCUAGGCUUCUUGGGCGUGUAUGGGAAGACAAAAGAUACACCUGAGGCACGGGAGGACCUGCAAGGUUUGCACGAAAAAGACGGCAUGCCUCCGAAGCAGUAUGAAGGUCCUGCCAGCUAUGCUCUUACGAAAGAAGAGAAAGAAAUCUUCUUUGAAUGCCUGCUCAGUAUGAAGGUCCCGACUGGCUUCUCGUCGAAUAUAAAGGGAAUAAUAAAUAUGCCAGAGAAAAAGUUCUAGAACCUAAAGUCUCAUGACUGCCACGUGAUUAUGACGCAACUGCUUCCGGUUGCAUUGAGGGAGCUUCUACCGGAAAACGUCCGAUUAGCCAUUGUGAAGCUAUGUGCAUUCCUCAAUGCAAUCUCUCAGAAGGUGAUCGAUCCAGAAAUCAUACCAAGGCUAAGGAGUGAUGUGGCGCAAUGUCUUGUCAGUUUCGAGCUGGUGUUCCCACCAUCCUUCUUCAAUAUCAUGACGCACGUCCUAGUUCAUCUAGUCGAGGAGAUUGUCAUUCUGGGGCCCGUAUUUCUACACAAUAUGUUCCCCUUUGAGAGGUUCAUGGGAGUCCUAAAGAAAUAUGUCCGUAACUGCGCUAGGCCAGAAGGAAGCAUCUCCAUGGGCCAUCAAACAGAGGAUAUCAUUGGGUUUUGUGUUGACUUUAUUCCUGGCCUUAAGAAGAUAGGUCUCCCUAAAUCGCGGUAUGAGGGGAGACUGACUGGAAAAGGCACGCUUGGAGGGGACUCAAUAAUAUGCAGGGACGGAUAUUCUUGGUCUCAAGCACACUACACAGUUCUACAGAACUCUACCUUGGUGACCCCGUAUGUCGAUGAACAAGAACAGUCUGCGCUCCAAACACCCGGAGCAGUGUGACGACUGGAUUACAUGUGAACACAUCAGGACUUUCAGCAGUUGGUUGGAAACACGUCUCAGAGGUGACACCACUGUUUGUGAUGAGUUGUACUCGUUGUCCAGGGGACCAUCUUCAACUGUAUUGACUUACAAAGGACACGAGACAAAUGGGAAUACAUUUUACACGAUCGCCCAAGAUCAAAAGAGCACCAACCAAAACAGCGGUGUCCGCUUUGAUGCAGCAACCGAGAGGGGAAAGGACACAUAUUAUGGUUACAUAAUGGACAUAUGGGAACUUGACUACGGACAUGAUUUUAAGGUCCCUUUGUUUAAGUGCAAAUGGGUCAAUCUGUCAGGAGGCGGGGUACAGGUAGACCCACAGUACGGAGUGACAACAGUGGAUCUGAACAAUCUUGGGUACACUGACGAACCGUUCGUCCUAGCCAAUGAUGUGGCACAGGUUAUCUAUGUGAAGGACAUGUCUACCAGACCGAGAAAAAGAAAAGAUAAGGAAGCAAAUACAUCAUACGAUGAGCCAAAGCGCCACAUAGUUCUUUCAGGAAAAAGGGACAUUGUGGGAGUGGAGGGCAAGACAGACAUGUCUGAAGAUUAUGAAAAGUUUCAUGAAAUUCCUCCCUUCAAAGUCAAGGCUGACCCAAGCAUCCUGAUAAACAAUGAAGAUUAUCCAUGGUUACGGCGCAAUAAGCAAAUGACACAAGCGAAGAAAAAGUGAAGACUUUCUCCCGCAACUAUUAUGAUGAUACCAUGCCAACUUUGUAACAGACGAGUAUGAUACCAUUGUCUGUUUUGUACACGAAGUGCAUCUAGUUUUUGCCGUAACCCUCUCAACUUUCUUGCACAUGCUAUGUGGAUGAAAUGAUGAUACCAUGCCAACUUUCAACCUUUUCAGAGUUCAUUUGAAAUGCUUUUCAAUUUUAGGGUCUUAUAGCUCAAAAUAAUUAGUAAAUGCAUGAAAAAUAACAGGCCAAAAAUUAAAAAUUAUGCCACCUACUGGGCCACCACGGCCUGAAUACGAUUAGAAACCCAUCCAUGGGCCAGGAUUCAGGCCCACAGAAGGACCAGUAGGCCCACCGGCAUGUACAGAGAGGUUAGGCCCGUAAGCCUGCUUUAGAGAGGAGCUCGACAGCUCAGGCGCACCGCUCCUUAUAAACAGGUGCGGCUCUCUCUCAGCUAGCGAGGUGGGACUAAACUCCCACCACCACGCCGCUAUGCAAGGCCAUUGGUCCCGGUUGGUGGCACGAACCGGGAUCAAUUCCACCCUUUGGUCCCGGUUGGUGCCACGAACCGGUACUAAUGAGGCUGUGGUCCCACGAGAACCUUUAGUACCGGUUCGUGGCACGAACCGGUACUAGAGUUUCUUACUAAGCAGUUUUUUAGUCCCACCUCGCUAGCUGAGAGGCACUAGGAGCGGUUUAUAAGCCCUGAGUGCAGAGACGAUGAAGAAGAGGCGCAAUGCUCACCUUCACGUUGCUUAGCUUCAAGCCUUGAGGAAUAAGGUAGACUGCAUGGAGCUAUGUGCAGUGCAGUCUACACUAUUCCAAAAGGCUUGAAGCUAAUCAAGGAGCAUUGCGCCUCUUUUUUAUUUUUAAUAACUUAUUACAACUCCUGACUUCUUGUGUUACGACAAAAUAAAAUAAACUUUAAUAAAAUUUAUGAAACUAAAAUUAACAAAGUAUUUUCUGUUCAAAACAUUAUAAGAAACCUCUAGUAUUAUUGAAACUAAAAUCAUAUAAAAUUGAUGCAACUAAAAUUAUCGAAGUAUUUUCUGUUCAAAAUCAUUAAAAGCAAAAAGAAUUUUCAUAAAGAACUUUUUUUGAUAGAAACUUUAAUAGCAAAAAGAAUUAUCAUAAAGUAAAAUAAAUAAGUAAUUAGAAACAAAAUAAAAUAAANNNNNNNNNNNNNNNNNNNNNNNNNNNNNNNNNNNNNNNNNNNNNNNNNNNNNNNNNNNNNNNNNNNNNNNNNNNNNNNNNNAGUAGAAACAAAACAAAAUAAAUAAAGCAAAUAAGAAAACAAAAAAAAUAAAUACAGCAAAAAUAAUUUUCAUAAAGAACUUUUUUUGAUAGAAACUUUAAUAGCAAAAAGAAUUAUCAUAAAGUAAAAUAAAUAAGUAAUUAGAAACAAAAUAAAAUAAAAUAAAUAAGUUUUUUGUUGUAAGUAGAAACAAAACAAAA
rnacentral:lncRNA from 1 species